rnacentral:tmRNA from 1 species
GGGGGUGUACUGGCUUCGACUUGGAAAUGAAGUACCAGUGGCAUGCAGAGGGUCGGCAGGCCUCUUUAAAAAGCCGAAAAGCCUUAACUGGCAAAACGAAAAAAGCCGAGAUCAUUUCUCUCUUCGGAGAAGAUCUUGAUCUCCAAGCUGCUGCUUAAGACCUAACCCGUCUGUGCGGCCGGUAGUCUGAAAUUGGACCAGGGAUUUUGGAACUACUGUCAUAGAUCUUGGUAUGAGCACUUGAUCUUGAUUUCCAGAGCUUGUGUUUCGAGAUGAAAGGAAGUGUGUGAGUCCCGAGUGGGGUGUCUUACAACAAGGUUCACACUAUAAAAUAAGACACUAAGCAUGUAGUCAUUGUUAUGGAGUUUGCUAAGGACGAGAGUUCGAUUCUCUCCACCUCCAAAA